UGAACGCUGGCGGCGUGCCUAAUACAUGCAAGUCGAACGGGAGUCCACGACUUCGGUUGUGGAUGAGAGUGGCGCACGGGUGAGUAACACGUAGCUGACCUGCCCUUCGCAGAGGGAUAACCUAUCGAAAGAUGGGCUAAUACCUCGUAAGCUCAGUAGGACUAGAGGUCUACUGAGGAAAGCGUUAAGGAAGCGGCGAAGGAGGGGGCUGCGGCCCAUCAGCUAGUUGGUGAGGUAACGGCUCACCAAGGCGAAGACGGGUAGGGGGCCUGAGAGGGUGACCCCCCACACUGGCACUGAGACACGGGCCAGACUCCUACGGGAGGCAGCAGUAAGGAAUAUUGCCCAAUGGACGCCAAGUCUGAGGCAGCAACGCCGCGUGGAGGAUGACGGUUUUCGGAUUGUAAACUCCUUUUCUGCGGGAAGAGGCAGGACGGUACCGCAGGAAUAAGUCUCGGCUAACUAC
rnacentral:rRNA from 1 species